CAAGAUAAUUACAAUGAAACAGAAGUAGUUCAGUUUUUAAAUACAUAAGCAUUAUAUUGUUGGAAAUUAAUGCUAUGCAUAAUCAUUGUGGAAGUUCAGUGAAGUUUGCUGGUCAGUUGCGAGCUGUUCCACUUCAUAGCUGGUGACAAUGGUGAAUGUCGUUCCUUUGAUUGCUUUUUCUCUUGGAGUUGCCUUUUUAACGAAGCACAUGAGUCUUUUUCCUUGGAUUGCUUGUGUUAUGUGAUGAAGUAAAAUCAUAUUCUGCUAUAGUCACAAUGAAACAUGUUAAGAAGUAAAGAGAUUUAAUAUGUCAGCAGUUUGUAGUUGCUUUUCUUUAAUACCUGAUUGUUUAUCUCGGUUAGUUCAGCAGCUUGAAUGGACAUCAAUUUUUCAGCUUCUUCUCCCAAGGCAAGUGUAUACAUUUUUCCAGUGGCAUCAAGUAUGGAAUUAUCUGUCCUUGAAUUGUUAUCUCCCUCAUUGGACGUGCAAAAACAACAAUCCCAAAUGUAUCUGCAGUGAAAGCAUUUUUAAAUUUGUGUUUGGAAGGUUAGGCAGAUGUUGAUAGUGGUAAAAGUGGAGGAGUGUUUAACAUACUCAUAUAUUUGUUUGAGUCUGCAUAAGUCUGAAUGUUGGAAAAUUGGUGCAAAUGUAGGUAUGGUGGUAUUGUUUCA